ACGCAUACCUGGCAUGGGAGAUACCAUUAUUGUAAAAGUGGUUUUCCCAGGGUAAGGCUCAUCUAUUGCACUUUGGAUGUGCUGAUCCCUGUGAUUCCCCCAAAUGUGGGAAAAUCAACUGCCUAAUUUGUGGUAGUGGGGGACUUUAUUUGUGGUUUCCCCUG
ensembl:snRNA U1 U1 spliceosomal RNA